UACGUAGGUGGCAAGCGUUGUCCGGAUUUACUGGGCGUAAAGAGCGCGCAGGCGGUCGAUCAAGUCGCGUGUGAAAGCCCCCGGCUCAACUGGGGAGGGUCAGCGCGAUACUGAUCGACUCGAAGGCAGGAGAGGGUAGUGGAAUUCCCGGUGUAGUGGUGAAAUGCGCAGAUAGUCAGGAGGAACACCGGUGGCGAAGGCGGGUCUCUGGGCCGAUACUGACGCUGAGGAGCGAAAGCCAGGGGAGCGAACGGG
rnacentral:rRNA from 1 species